rnacentral:rRNA from 1 species
GGCAGCAGUAGGGAAUUUUCUGCAAUGGGCGAAAGUGUGAAGGAGCAACGCCGCGUGAGCGAAGAAGGCCUUCGGGUCGUAAAGCUUUGUUGUCAGGGAAGAACAAGUACGGGAGUAACUGCCGGUACCUUGACGGUACCUGACCAGAAAGCCACGGCUAAAUACGUGCCAGCAGCCGCGGUAAUACGUAGGGGGCAAGCGUUUUCCGGAAUUAUUGGGCGUAAAGCGCGCGCGGGCGGUCCUUUAAGUGUGAUGUGAAAGCCCACGGCUCAACCGUGGAGGGUCAUUGGAAACUGGGGGACUUGAGUGCAGAAGAGGGGAGCGGAAUUCCACGUGUAGCGGUGAAAAGUGUAGAGAUGUGGAGGAACACCAGUGGGGAAGGGGGCUCUCUGGUCUGUAACUGACGCGGAGGCGCGAAAGCGUGGGGAGCGAACACGAUUAGAUACCCCGGUAGUCCACGCCCUAAACGAUGAGUGCUAAGUGUU